rnacentral:lncRNA from 1 species
UCACCCACUAUUUUGUAAAUGUCUGUUAUAGAUGGAGAAAUUUGUACGCAAGCUUUGUUCAAAGUUCAUUGUUCCAGCAGCUCUGCAGGGCCUUGAGGAGCCUGGUGACAUUGCCUUUGGGGAGACGGCAAACCAUUUGCCAGGAAGAAAGUUGAACAUUGGGUUCACAACCAGGGCUAAACUCAACAGGCUACUUGACGAGGGUGACAUCACACCACAGCAGGUGGAUUCAUUCCAUGAAGCUGUGGUAUGUUUCCUGACAAGUGCUGUGGCCUAUGCACUAAAGAAGCUGCCACUGAAAGAGCCACUGCUCAAACAUUCAAAAUUUGUAGACGUACGGCAGAGGGCUGAAAGUGACAUCGGAGAUGUCCUGUACUUUGUUGAAAGGUUUGUUUUCUUUCCCUCUAAUUAUUGUCUAUCAUCUUAG